CAGAAGUGCGAAUGCUGACAUAAGUAACGAUAAAGCGGGUGAAAAGCCCGCUCGCCGGAAGACCAAGGGUUCCUGUCCAACGUUAAUCGGGGCAGGGUGAGUCGACCCCUAAGGCGAGGCCGAAAGGCGUAGUCGAUGGGAAACAGGUUAAUAUUCCUGUACUUGGUGUUACUGCGAAGGGGGGACGGAGAAGGCUAUGUUGGCCGGGCGACGGUUGUCCCGGUUUAAGCGUGUAGGCUGGUUUUCCAGGCAAAUCCGGAAAAUCAAGGCUGAGGCGUGAUGACGAGGCACUACGGUGCUGAAGCAACAAAUGCCC
rnacentral:rRNA from 1 species